rnacentral:lncRNA from 1 species
AGAAAUAAGAGAAAAUAAAUGAUUUGAUCAAAUAAUAUUACUAUGAUUCGAGAGAAAAUAAGACAAGCAUCUACUCGACACUACAACAAAAGUAUAUAUAUAUAUAUAUAUAUAUAUAUAUAUAUACGUCUAAAUUAAUCGAACUUUAUGGGCAGCAGAGAAAUGCUUAGCAGCAGCAACCAUGGUAGCCUCUGGCCCAAUAGGUGCUGCACCUUUUGAUGACUUGUUCACAAUAUUAUUUCUUGAUCUGCACUUUUUACCUGCUACUACAUAACACAACCAUGACACCACUAUUGAUGAGAAUCCACUCACUUUCUUAUCCUUGCUGCUCAUCGCAACCACAAUUCAAGGAACUAUUUGACUUUAGAUGGGCUGGAAUUUAUUGGAGAUAUAAUUUUCUUGGUUAAUUGAUGAAAUAUAUAGAAGGCCACUUGAUGAACCCUUUAUAUGAGCUCACAUUAAUUUCUUGGUGAGCAAGAUUAACUUGGGUUUGAUUGAUGAAUUAUAAAGAAGGCCAC